rnacentral:lncRNA from 1 species
CCCCUCAAAAGCUGUAAUCUCAGAGUUAAAGAAUCCCAUAACAACUUCCUAGCUGCUCGAUCACAAGGUGCAUAAAUGUUAAACAAGUAGAACUCCUCAUUAGACUUAAUAAAACGGCCAUGAAUAAUAAGCGUAUGGUCACGACUAACAGAAGACCACACCUCCACCUCUGAAGUAUCCCACACUGACAACAGCCCCCCAGACGCCCCAC